rnacentral:rRNA from 1 species
CCUACGUGGGGCAGCAGUGGGGGAUAUUGCACAAUGGGGGAAACCCUGAUGAAGCGACGCCGCGUGUGGGAAGACGGUCUUCUGGAUUGUAAACCACUGUCCCCAGGGACGAAAAUGACGGUACCUGGGGAGGAAGCUCCGGCUAACGACGUGCCAGCAGCCGCGGUAAUACGUAGGGUGCAAGCGUUGUCCGGAAUUACUGGGUGUAACGGGAGCGUAGGCGGGGAUGCAAGUUGGGUGUAAAAACUACCGGCUCAACCGAUAGUCGCACUCAAAACUGCAACUCUUGAGUGAAGUAGAGGCAGGCGGAAUUCCUAGUGUAGCGGUGAAAUGCGUAGAUAUUAGGAGGAAAACCAGUGGCGAAGGCGGCCUGCUGGGCUUUUACUGACGCUGAGGCUCGAAAGUGUGGGGAGCAAACAGGAUUAGAUACCCUUGUAGUC